ACCCACACAUUCCUCCGCUUCCUCUGGAGCUUUAAUUCGCUUCCUGCCUUUAAACCCAAGCUGGAAGUUGGGUUCGGGGAAAACGUCUCCACAGCAAUAAGCUUUCAUCUUUUAGAAACCAGUGUACAGGGAGGGAGGGGGGGGAAAUCUGUGCAAAUAAGAGAAAUUACUGAUGUAAUUCUUGGCAUUUCUCACAUGGAGUCACUGCCACCUUCUUUAAAAAAAUAGGACUGUAGCUAAUUUGGGUCAGAAAAACAAAUUAAGCACAACUCUUGGUAUACUAAGUUAUAAAUUGCUAAAAGAACACAGUUGCUUUGUCACAUAUACCUAACAAAUGUGUGAGCCUUUCGGUUUGUGUUUAUACAUUUAGUGUUACUCUAAGUGUCAAAAACACGGUCUUUAAUAUCAGUUCUGUUAUGUAAUACAUUCACAUGUCAAUUAGUGACUAGUGAAUAAAACCUUGUGAUGCUGAACUUUGUAUGUUUCUUCAUCUAUCUUUGGACUGAUGCUACUCCAUCGGUCCACCUUUGUUACAGUUCACAAAACAACCCCGUUAUUCCAACUUUUGCCU